rnacentral:rRNA from 1 species
AAGACCUUGCGCUUUUGGAGCGGCCGAUGCCUGAUUAGCUUGUUGGUAAGGUAAAGGCUUACCAAGGCUUCGAUCAGUAGCUGGUCUGAGAGGACGGCCAGCCACACUGGGACUGAGACACGGCCCAGACUCCUACGGGAGGCAGCAGUGGGGAAUUUUGGGCAAUGGGGGAAACCCUGAUCCAGCCAUGCCGCGUGAGUGAAGAAGGCCUUCGGGUUGUAAAGCUCUUUCAGCCGGAACGAAACGGUUACGGAUAAUACCCGUGACUACUGACGGUACCGGAAGAAGAAGCACCGGCUAACUACGUGCCAGCAGCCGCGGUAAUACGUAGGGUGCGAGCGUUAAUCGGAAUUACUGGGCGUAAAGCGUGCGCAGGUGGUUUUGUAAGUCAGAUGUGAAAGCCCCGGGCUCAACCUGGGAACU